rnacentral:rRNA from 1 species
GACAGAGGUGCCAAGCGUUAGGCGGAAUUACUGGGCGUAAAGCGUGCGCAGGCGGUUAUGUAAGACAGGUGUGAAAUCCCCGGGCUUAACCUGGGAACUGCAUUUGUGACUGCAUAGCUAGAGUACGGUAGAGGGGGAUGGAAUUCCGCGUGUAGCAGUGAAAUGCGUAGAUAUGCGGAGGAACACCGAUGGCGAAGGCAAUCCCCUGGGCCUGCACUGACGCUCAUGCACGAAAGCGUGGGGAGCAAACAGG